CCCAGCUCUCCUGCGCGGUCUGCCGGCCACCGCCACCGCCACCGGCAGAGAGCCCCGGCCAGGGACAGUGCAGGGCCGUCCUACCGGCAGUCACCAGGCGCAGGCCGCUCUGCUGUCUGCAAGGACGGAAACACCAAAUAUGUGGCAGGAACCUGUGCUAACAAGAGGACAUCAUGUAAAAAGGAAAUGCCCAGGGAACAAGGUGUGUGGUUGUCCAGGACACAAGCUGAGACAGGCUGCUGGUCUGCAGGCCACUCCCAAGGAGCAUCGUGUGGCGCCAAGUCUCUGGCCCUGGCGUGGCGCUGUGUGGAUCUCUGUUCCUGGGAGCCUAGUCACCUUGGGCCACCUUUGUUACAGAAGUUAACAAACCAGCACAAGAUGAAGAAGGACCCUCCACCUGGCCACCUGGGCUGGAAUCUGAGCCCAUGUGGGCACUCCCCCAUCAGCUCUUGGUGUCUCAGCAAUCCAUCUCUCUCCAACCCUGCCCCCGGGGAUUUAUCUUCCAACAGGCUUUUGCCAAACCUUUCUGAAGCAUAGUCAGAAACAAAACUCCCAAUUCUGAUCUGUCACCCUCUGAUUUAAGACUCAGAGAGCUUGGGACACCAGGGUGGUUCAGCAGUUGAGCAGAUGCCUUUGGCUCAGGGCGUGAUCCCGGGGUCCAGGAUUGAGUCCCAUGUCGGGGUCCUUGCAUGGAGCCUGCUUCUCCCUCCCCCUGUGUCUCUGUAUCUCUCAUGAAUAAAUAAAUAAAAUCUUUUUUAAAAAAGGACUGAGAGAGCUUCCCAUUGCUCUCUUGU